CCCGGAGGGGCGGCCUACAAUGCAAGUCGUAACAAGGUAGGUUAGGCUUGCUGCUUCGCUGACGAGUGGCGGACGGGUGAGUAAUGUCUGGGAAACUGCCUGAUGGAGGGGGAUAACUACUGGAAACGGUAGCUAAUACCGCAUAACGUCGCAAGACCAAAGAGGGGGACCUUCGGGCCUCUUGCCAUCGGAUGUGCCCAGAUGGGAUUAGCUAGUAGGUGGGGUAACGGCUCACCUAGGCGACGAUCCCUAGCUGGUCUGAGAGGAUGACCAGCCACACUGGAACUGAGACACGGUCCAGACUCCUACGGGAGGCAGCAGUGGGGAAUAUUGCACUGGGCGCAAGCCUGAUGCAGCCAUGCCGCGUGUAUGAAGAAGGCCUUCGGGUUGUAAAGUACUUUCAGCGGGGAGGAAGGGAGUAAAGUUAAUACCUUUGCUCAUUGACGUUACCCGCAGAAGAAGCACCGGCUAACUCCGUGCCAGCAGCCGCGGUAAUACGGAGGGUGCAAGCGUUAAUCGGAAUUACUGGGCGUAAAGCGCACGCAGGCGGUUUGUUAAGUCAGAUGUGAAAUCCCCGGGCUCAACCUGGGAACUGCAUCUGAUACUGGCAAGCUUGAGUCUCGUAGAGGGGGGUAGAAUUCCAGGUGUAGCGGUGAAAUGCGUAGAUAUCUGGAGGAAUACCGGUGGCGAAGGCGGCCCCCUGGACGAAGACUGACGCUCAGGUGCGAAAGCGUGGUGAGCAAACGGGAUUAGAUACCCUGGGAGUCCCCGCCGUAAACGAUGUCCACUUGGAGGUUGCGCCCCUUGAGGCGGUGGCUUUCCGGAGACUAACCGCGUUAAGGUCAACCGCCUGGGGAGUACCGCCGGCAAGGUAAAACUCAUAUGAAUUGUGCGGGGCCCGCCACACGCGGGGGGAGCAGGUGGUGAUUCUUGCACCGCGGAGAACCCUCUCUGGGUGUGCGUCCCGAAGGUUUUU
rnacentral:rRNA from 1 species